GGGGCGGUGGCGAAAUGGCAGACGCAGCGGACUUAAAAUCCGCCGGGGUAACACCCAUGUGGGUUCGAGUCCCACCCGCCCUA
rnacentral:tRNA from 2 species